rnacentral:rRNA from 1 species
UACGUAGGGUCCGAGCGUUGUCCGGAAUUACUGGGCGUAAAGAGCUCGUAGGUGGUUUGUCGCGUUGUUCGUGAAAACUCACAGCUCAACUGUGGGCGUGCGGGCGAUACGGGGCAGACUAGAGUACUGCAGGGGAGACUGGAAUUCCUGGUGUAGCGGUGGAAUGCGCAGAUAUCAGGAGGAACACCGGUGGCGAAGGCGGGGUCUCUGGGCCGUAACUGACGCUGAGAAGCGAAAGCCGUGGGGAGCGAACAGG